CUUCGGGUUGUAAAUUCUCGUUAUAAGGGAAGAACGACUUUAGUAGGAAAUGGCUAGAGUGUGACNGUACCUUAUGAGAAAGCCACGGCUAACUACGUGCCAGCAGCCGCGGUAAUACGUAGGUGGCGAGCGUUAUCCGGAAUUAUUGGGCGUAAAGAGCGCGCAGGUGGUUGAUUAAGUCUGAUGUGAAAGCCCCGGCUUAACCGUGGAGGGUCAUUGGAAACUGGUCNACUUGAGUGCAGAAGAGGGAAGUGGAAUUCCAUGUGUAGCGGUGAAAUGCGUAGAGAUAUGGAGGACACCAGUGGCGAAGGCGGCUUCCUGGUCUGUACUGACACUGAGGCCGAAAGCGUGGGGAACAAACANGAUUANAUACCUGGUAGUCCACCCCCNUAAACGAUGAAUGCUANUUGUUGGGGGGUCNAACCUCANUGCUGAANUUUACGCAUUAAGC
rnacentral:rRNA from 1 species